GGGCUUGUAGUGAAAUGGAUAUCACUUUGGACUUCUAAUCCAACAUUCCGGGUUCGAUCCCCGGCAAGUCUG
rnacentral:tRNA from 1 species